rnacentral:rRNA from 1 species
UACAGAGGUCUCAAGCGUUGUUCGGAUUCAUUGGGCGUAAAGGGCGCGUAGGCGGUGCGGUAAGUCUGCGGUGAAAUCUCCCGGCUCAACUGGGAGGCUGCCGUGGAAACUGCCGUGCUUGAGUGUGGGAGAGGUGAGUGGAAUUCCCGGUGUAGCGGUGAAAUGCGUAGAUAUCAGGAGGAACACCAAUGGCGAAGGCAGCUCGCUGGGACGUGACUGACGCUGAGACGCGAAAGCGUGGGGAGCAAACAGG